GUCAUUAAACCUCGAAGACGCAGCCACUCUGUUCGCCUUUCACUCCAUUUGUGUGUUUCUGCCUCCUAUUUGGACAGGUGCUCCCCCAGCGCGUCUGACACACUGACCUCCCGGCCUCUGCUGGCAGCGAGGCCGUCCAGGAGCCGGGCCGCGGGCAGAUCAAAGCGGGAGCGAUGCCCCACCAGCAGAGAUAAAUACACGCUUCCUCCCAGCUCGCUCGCACUGCUUUUUCCCACACUCCUUGAACUCUCCUGCUGCAGCGGGGCCAGCUCGCAGGAAACGACCGACCACAUCAAGCGGCCGGGCUGCUUUAACGGGAGCGCCGGUGCCAGGCUUCACAAGAAAUGCAAGAGGUCCAAUCCAAACUACUACAAGCUGAACUCCUGCCAGCCAGGUCUGGGCCAGGGAGCCGUGGGGAUGAAUACCAGAGACAUCUGGACCGGUUUCGUGCGGAGCUCGAGGCCUGUUAUGGAGACCACGCAACGAUGUCGCUGUUCAUUAAUAGUGACGCUGACCAUCGCCGGCGCAUUCAUCUUCCUGUCUAACAACGGCGAGGAGCGCAGGCUGAGGACGCGGCGGCGACGGGUGGAUGCGGGGCCGGUCAGCUGA
rnacentral:lncRNA from 1 species